UUAGUGAUUGAAAUAAAAAUAAAAAAAAUUAAAUUAAAUUACAUUUAAAUAAAAAAUAGAAUGAUGAAUUAUUCAUGAAUAUUUGAUUUAUUAUUCGAAUAAAAAUUGGAAUAAAUAUCUAAGAUUUUGGAAAAGCAUUUUGAUUAAGGAGAAAAAAGUGAUGUAGGGAGAGGAGAGAGAGGCGUUUGUGAGAGAAGGAUUUGAGUGAUUUAUAUUUUGAAAUGUGUUAAUUUUGGAUUCAAAGUCAGUUUGGGUUAUAAAUAAAUUUGGUCAUUUUCACUCUAGAAUAAAAUGGGAAUUAAAAUUCGAUUCUUGUAAAAUAAACAAGAAUUAUUAAAAUCAAUGAAUCUCAUUCUGAUUUCAUAGUUUAAAAUAUAUGAAACUAAAAAUACAUAUAAUCAAUACAUCUAAAUAUAUAUGUAAAUUUGCAUCUCCUCUAUCUUACA
rnacentral:lncRNA from 1 species